GUGAACGAGCGACGCCGCGUGGAGGAUGAAGGCCUUCGGGUUGUAAACUCCUGUCGAGGGGGAACAAGGGGCCGUGCAGAACGGCUCUUGAGUGAUCCCUGGAGGAAGCACGGGCUAAGUUCGUGCCAGCAGCCGCGGUAAGACGAACCGUGCGAACGUUAUUCGGAAUCACUGGGCUUAAAGCGCGUGUAGGCGGGCCGGCACGUCGGAUGCUGAAAGCCCCCGGCUCAACCGGGGAACGGGCAGCGAUACGACCGGCCUGGAGGGGGGUAGGGGGCGCCGGAACUUCCGGUGGAGCGGUGAAAUGCGUUGAGAUCGGAAGGAACGCCCGUGGCGAAAGCGGGCGCCUGGACCCCACCUGACGCUGAGACGCGAAAGCCAGGGGAGCGAACGGGAUUAGAUACCCCGGUAGUCCUGGCCGUAAACGAU
rnacentral:rRNA from 1 species